rnacentral:rRNA from 1 species
UACGGAGGGUGCAAGCGUUAUCCGGAUUUACUGGGUUUAAAGGGUGCGCAGGCGGAUAUGUAAGUCAGUGGUGAAAUCUCUAGGCUUAACCUGGAAAUUGCCGUUGAUACUAUAUAUCUUGAAUGCUGUGGAGGUAAGCGGAAUAUGUCAUGUAGCGGUGAAAUGCUUAGAUAUGACAUAGAACACCUAUUGCGAAGGCAGCUUACUACGCAGAUAUUGACGCUCAUGCACGAAAGCGUGGGGAGCAACCAGG